rnacentral:tRNA from 1 species
AUAAAGAUAAGCUAAUUAAGCUACUAGGUUCAUACCCUAAUUAAAGAAGUAGAGUCUUCUUCUUUAUA